UACGAGGGGGGCUAGCGUUGCUCGGAAUUACUGGGCGUAAAGCGCACGUAGGCGGAUAUUUAAGUCAGGGGUGAAAUCCCAGAGCUCAACUCUGGAACUGCCUUUGAUACUGGGUAUCUCGAGUAUGGAAGAGGUGAGUGGAAUUCCGAGUGUAGAGGUGAAAUUCGUAGAUAUUCGGAGGAACACCAGUGGCGAAGGCGGCUCACUGGUCCAUUACUGACGCUGAGGUGCGAAAGCGUGGGGAGCAAACAGG
rnacentral:rRNA from 1 species